rfam:Salmo salar isolate Sally breed double haploid chromosome ssa09, whole genome shotgun sequence.
UGGUCAAGUCAAGUAAGUCGCUCUGGAUAAGAGCGUCUGCUAAAUGACUUAAA